rnacentral:rRNA from 1 species
AAAUUGAAGAGUUUGAUCAUGGCUCAGAUUGAACGCUGGCGGCAGGCCUAACACAUGCAAGUCGAACGGUAACAGGAAACAGCUUGCUGUUUCGCUGACGAGUGGCGGACGGGUGAGUAAUGUCUGGGAAACUGCCCGAUGGAGGGGGAUAACUACUGGAAACGGUAGCUAAUACCGCAUAACGUCGCAAGACCAAAGAGGGGGACCUUCGGGCCUCUUGCUAUCGGAUGUGCCCAGAUGGGAUUAGCUAGUAGGUGGGGUAACGGCUCACCUAGGCGACGAUCCCUAGCUGGUCUGAGAGGAUGACCAGCCACACUGGAACUGAGACACGGUCCAGACUCCUACGGGAGGCAGCAGUGGGGAAUAUUGCACAAUGGGCGCAAGCCUGAUGCAGCCAUGCCGCGUGUAUGAAGAAGGCCUUCGGGUUGUAAAGUACUUUCAGCGGGGAGGAAGGGAGUAAAGUUAAUACCUUUACUCAUUGACGUUACCCGCAGAAGAAGCACCGGCUAACUCCGUGCCAGCAGCCGCGGUAAUACGGAGGGUGCAAGCGUUAAUCGGAAUUACUGGGCGUAAAG